UACGGAGGGGGCUAGCGUUGUUCGGAAUUACUGGGCGUAAAGCGCACGUAGGCGGCUUUGUAAGUUAGAGGUGAAAGCCCGGGGCUCACUCCGGAAUUGCCUUUAAGACUGCAUCGCUAGAAUUGUGGAGAGGUAAGUGGAAUUCCGAGUGUAGAGGUGAAAUUCGUAGAUAUUCGGAAGAACACCAGUGGCGAAGGCGACUUACUGGACACAUAUUGACGCUGAGG
rnacentral:rRNA from 1 species